GUGGAUUAGAUACCCUGGUAGUCCACGCCCUAAACGAUGAAUACUCGAUGUUGGCGAUAUACGGUCAGCGUCUAAGCGAAAGCGUUAAGUAUUCCACCUGGGGAGUACGCCCGCAAGGGUGAAACUCAAAGGAAUUGACGGGGGCCCGCACAAGCGGAGGAGCAUGUGGUUUAAUUCGAUGAUACGCGAGGAACCUUACCCGGGCUUGAAAGUUAGUGAAUGUACCAGAGACGGUACAGUCCUUCGGGACACGAAACUAGGUGCUGCACGGUUGUCGACAACU
rnacentral:rRNA from 1 species